GGGAAAUUCAGUUUCAAAAGGCAAAAUUCAAUGGAUCCAAGGAAUAACAAUAUGCGUUUUAGUUUUGGUAGGCAAUCGUCUCUCGAUCCGAUACGGAGGUGUCCGUCUUUUGAAAACGAGACGAUUGCUGUACCGGAUAAUUUGGAUUCGACGAUGCAAUUGUUGUUUAUGGCAUGUAAAGGUGAUGUGAAUGGAGUGAAGGAUUUGUUGGAUGAAGAUGUUGAUGU
rnacentral:misc_RNA from 1 species